AGUGAACGCUGGCGGUAGGCCUAACACAUGCAAGUCGAACGGCAGCACAGUAAGAGCUUGCUCUUACGGGUGGCGAGUGGCGGACGGGUGAGGAAUACAUCGGAAUCUACUUUUUCGUGGGGGAUAACGUAGGGAAACUUACGCUAAUACCGCAUACGACCUACGGGUGGAAGCAGGGGAUCUUCGGACCUUGCGCGAUUGAAUGAGCCGAUGUCGGAUUAGCUAGUUGGCGGGGUAAAGGCCCACCAAGGCGACGAUCCGUAGCUGGUCUGAGAGGAUGAUCAGCCACACUGGAACUGAGACGCGGUCCAGACUCCUACGGGAGGCAGCAGUGGGGAAUAUUGGACAAAGGGCGCAAGCCUGAUCCAGCCAUACCGCGUGGGUGAAGAAGGCCUUCGGGUUGUAAAGCCCUUUUGUUGGGAAAGAAAAGCAGCAGGUUAAUACCCCGCUGUUCUGACGGUACCCAAAGAAUAAGCACCGGCUAACUUCGUG
rnacentral:rRNA from 1 species